rnacentral:rRNA from 1 species
UACGUAGGGGCCAAGCGUUGUUCGGAUUUACUGGGCGUAAAGGGUUCGUAGGUGGCUCGCUAAGCCAGACGUGAAAUCCCUCAGCUUAACUGGGGAACUGCGUGUGAUACUGGAUGGCUUGGAUUUGGGAGAGGGAUGCGGAAUUCCAGGUGUAGCGGUGAAAUGCGUAGAUAUCUGGAGGAACACCGGUGGCGAAGGCGGCAUCCUGGACCAAUAUUGACGCUGAGGAGCGAAAGCCAGGGGAGCAAACGGG